rnacentral:snRNA from 1 species
AUCACUUCUAGGCCUUUUGGCUGAGAGCAAGUAUGGUAUCUGUUCUUAUCUGUUUAAAACAUAAUAAUUUGACUAUAUAUCCUUAAGGACAAAAAAAAUGGAAGAAAUUUAA